rnacentral:ncRNA from 2 species
UUAACGCCGUCUGGAGAGCCGCUGCCCCCUUGAAAAAGGGCGCGCAGCGCACCGAAGGAGCAAACACCGCAGGGGACUGCGGUGUGAAUCUCUCAGGUACCAAGGACAGGGGGAGCGGC